GAUGAACGCUGGCGGCGUGCCUAAUAAAUGCAAGUCGAGCGAACGGACGAGAAGCUUGCUUCUCUGACGUUAGCGGCGGACGGGUGAGUAACACGUGGAUAACCUACCUAUAAGACUGGGAUAACUUCGGGAAACCGGAGCUAAUACCGGAUAAUAUUUUGAACCGCAUGGUUCAAAAGUGAAAGACGGUCUUGCUGUCACUUAUAGAUGGAUCCGCGCUGCAUUAGCUAGUUGGUAAGGUAACGGCUUACCAAGGCAACGAUGCAUAGCCGACCUGAGAGGGUGAUCGGCCACACUGGAACUGAGACACGGUCCAGACUCCUACGGGAGGCAGCAGUAGGGAAUCUUCCGCAAUGGGCGAAAGCCUGACGGAGCAACGCCGCGUGAGUGAUGAAGGUCUUCGGAUCGUAAAACUCUGUUAUUAGGGAAGAACAUAUGUGUAAGUAACUGUGCACAUCUUGACGGUACCUAAUCAGAAAGCCACGGCUAACUACGUG
rnacentral:rRNA from 1 species